UUUCAUUAUUGCUGCCAUUUAUUUUAAUUUAAUUUGAUUCUACAUUUUGAGAUUUUUGGCUACCUGAUUUCUUUUUCUUCCCCCCCUGACAGGUUGAGGGCAACGGCAGUGAACGUUUUGAACUGUCACUACAGUUCUUGCACAGUGUUUCCAAGUCACCUUUUCCAUUAAAUACUGGAAAGCGAGCUGUUAAAUUUUCUGCACGGCUGCAGGAAAGAGACAAAGAUCUCAUUGAAAUGGGGACUAAUCUUGCUGAAGAUCUACAGUGUGGGGACAUUUUUCAUUUGUUUGCUUUAGUCUCAUUAGGUGAACUUUCAAUUUCCCCAUGUUUACCAGAUAAUGGUGUAGGGGAGGCCGAUGACUUGAGAAAUGCAAAGCGUAAAGUUGAUGCUAAUGAGCCUUCCUUUAGUGAUAAAGCUAAGAAACUGAAAUCAUUGUUUGGAACAGAAGGUGAAAUUAUUUCCCGCCGGGAAAAAGGUUUUCCUGGCAUCAUCAUUUCUGCACGCCGUACAGCAAUUUCAAGAACUGAUAUUUUAGAUAUGUUCAUGGAUGAUGAUAACAAUGGCCAAUGUUUUGAUGCGAAUUUUCAAUUAAACACCGGCCAAAGUAGCAAUGAUUCACUUCCUGAUCAUAUGCCAGAACUCUUUAACUCUUGUAACUCUGUACCAGUGGAAGAGAAUCAAGUUGACUCGCCCUGGGAAGCUAUGGCAGGCUAUGCACGACGUUUGAUGUUGGGACCUUCCAAUCAAGAAGUACAAACCAUGUGUGCUGAUGUCUUCAGAGUUGUUUAUGCUGCCAUUCAGAAGGCUGGUGACCAAGGAUUGAGCAUCGAAGAAAUUUCCCAACUUAUAAAAGGGCCAGGUAUUGUAAGUGCUGAGAUUUAACCUAGUAUAUGGUUGACUUAAAAUUGAUUAAUUUUUUUUUAAUUAUUUAAACUUCUCUGUGAUAGUUUAUUGUUUUAUAUGGCUUUAUGUCUUUCAGGAGCAGGGGUAGAUGGACUGAUUGUUGAUGCUCUUCAAGCAUUUGGAAAAGCCUUAAAGGUACUCUCCCUUCCUUGGUCCAAUGAUUCAUAGCAUGCUUGGAUUCCAGUCUGUUAAUUGUGGUCUGCCCCAAUGAAAAAGCUUUUUUUUUUUUUUUUUACUUAUACUCAAAUUAUAGUUCGAGACUGAAAUCAUGUUCAAACACAACCCCGUCAUUAUUUCCUAAACAUGUUAUUUGUGGAUGAAACUUAAGUUACACACCCCAAGCUAUGAUUUGUGGUGUGUAAACUAUAUACAAGUGUUAAAAAUAUAAUAUAAAACCAUUCAUAUGUCUUCACCCAAUAACUUAAUCUUUUGAGAUAGUUGGUUCACGGUGUAGUGUCGAAACCUUUAUGGGUAAGUCGUUCUUAAAUUAAUUGCAUGCUAUGAGACAGAUCAGUUAUGUGCUUAAAUUUAGCCCUAUAUUGUUACACUUUCUAGUCAUGUUUAUAUUGGUCAUCAUGAAAUUGAUAAUAUGAAGCGUGUUCAUAUGUUUGUGUAAGGCAUAAAGUCAGGAUUAUGUUUUCUCAUCAUGCUUGCCCAUAUUAUAGUGAUUGUCUACUACUGAACUUCUUUGGCUCCAAACUCUCCUAGAUGAGCUACUAUGAUCUGUAAUUCUGUAUAAUGUGACAGGUGACAUCUUAAGCAUGGUUUCCCUCUCUUACAACCCAAUCCUGCAUGCACCAAUGAAAAUAGGAAUAUAAAUCUGUUGUAGUAAAAAGAUAUAUCAAUCCCCAACUAAUAUAAAAAGGGAAUAGAUUCUGUCCUACAUGCUCGGGCUUGAGAGGGAGUGUUGGUAUGAUUUAUCUGAUAACCCAUGAAAAUAGAAAUAAAAUUCUGUUUUAGUUAGGAGAUAUAUCAAUCCCUGAAUUUUUAUCAUUUAGGUGUUUUAGAUGUAUUUAUAUUGUAUCUAGUUGUAAUUAUAAAGUUGAGUGCUAGGGUUUCUCUCAAGCAAAUGAAGCAAUCCAACCAGUUCAAGUUAUGUUUUUUCAUUAUUGCUGCCAUUUAUUUUAAUUUAAUUUGAUUCUACAUUUUGAGAUUUUUGGCUACCUGAUUUCUUUUUCUUCCCCCCCUGACAGGUUGAGGGCAACGGCAGUGAACGUUUUGAACUGUCACUACAGUUCUUGCACAGUGUUUCCAAGUCACCUUUUCCAUUAAAUACUGGAAAGCGAGCUGUUAAAUUUUCUGCACGGCUGCAGGAAAGAGACAAAGAUCUCAUUGAAAUGGGGACUAAUCUUGCUGAAGAUCUACAGUGUGGGGACAUUUUUCAUUUGUUUGCUUUAGU
rnacentral:lncRNA from 1 species